rnacentral:rRNA from 1 species
AUGGCCCACCAGCCGGACACAAUGAUGGAUACGCCGUCAGUCGACCGCACCACGGAACAGAAAUUCGGUGUCGCGAAUCAGAAAUUUGUCGACGAUGUGAGCCGGUUCCGAGGAGAUUCUGGACUAACCGAGGCACCUACUUCCAUUCAAUGCAAAUGCAUCUUCCCGUUGGAGUGCGGCGGGCAGGUCUACACCUGGAUUGCUCGAUCUGGAGUGAACGGUGGGCAUCGCUUCUACAAGUGUGUCAACAAGGAUAGGUGUGGAUACAUGAUAUCUUCUGAUUGCAGAUUGUCCAGCUGUCCUCGUGCCCAGCUGCUGGCUAACCAGCUGGUUGCAUAUUGCCAAGUUGUCCCCGCGCAUCUCCCGCUGGCAGCUUACUUGCACCGACGAGUUAUACCUGGCGAACCAAUCGAGCAAUGA